GGGAGAGGCCUAGAUCGGAAGCUGUGAGUUUUUUGUGGUUGCAUGUUCCCUUUGGUGGUUGGGUUACCGUCUGUUAUGACUGGGUGAGGUGUCGGUUUGGUAGGUCGGAGAGAUGUUUGGUGUCGAUGGUGGAUAAUGGGAGGGAUACUGUUGUCUUCCCCUGUGUUUGUAGAGGACGAUCUGCAAACAAGCUCUUGGGGUACUGGGUGAGCACGAAAGAACCUUAUUUUCUGGUAGGUAUAUAAUGUGGCGUUGUCGUUCAGGGUUCUAUGUCUAUGCCAUAUUUGAAGCCUUAAAGGGUAGCCGGAAGUGAAGAUGGAUCAAAUUAGAGUGGUUUACAAGCUUCGACAUAGCAACCAAGUAGAUUUCAGUAUAUGGCUCUAUCAAGACACUUGAGACAUUCAUGUUGAAGUCAGAGACCCUAAAAAUGGUCUGUUACUGGAGCUGUUGAUUGACAAGACCAACCAAUCAAGCCUUUAAAGGACAGUUCAGGAGUUCAGUGGUGGAGUCUUUGAUCUGAUAUCUGACUUCUGCAAAUUCAUAUUUGGGUGGUAAUGAUUUUGAUAAGAUGCAUGUUCAUUGGCUUGCUGCAAUAAUGAAGGGAGUGACCUACUAUUGCAGUUUAGAGGACAAGUGUUAUAUGGUACUCCUUUGGCGAUCUGCAUUACGUACCUUACAGGAAAGUGAAAAGGAUUGACAUUCUAAAAGAAAAAAAGAAAAAGUGGAAAGGAUUGAGAAGAUGAAUUGCUGAUAUAUAUGUGUCAUAGAGGAGCUAAUAGCAUCAAAAUAUUAGGAGGUACUUCCAAACAGGUGUCAGAUCUGGAUUACAACAAAAUAUAAGUUGCCCAAAUUUCUCACCUGCAAUAAGAAAUUUCAAGGAUCGGAGUCCAUGUAACUAUGUAGGGGUUUCUCAUCUCCAAUCCCAAAAGUGGAUUGUCUAAGGUCUAAAAGUAGAUGGAAACUGUGUUCUUUAGAUGCCAAGCUCAAAGCUAGGGUGGGGGUUUAACCGUUUAACAGAGAAAUCAGAGAGAUCUCUAAUCCUCAAGUAUGAGAGAGCUUCAGAAUUUAGAGCAGCAACUUGAUUCUGCUAUGAAGCACAUAAGGAAAUGCUUUAAAUAGUCUCACAAGCUGGAAUAUAGACUUUUGAACCUGAAGCCUGAAUAAAGAACUUAUAAGAUAAUUGGAGAAACAAAGUUUUCCUCAUCUAAGGGAGACUUCGAUGUUGGGAUAUGUUUUCCUACCAGGAGUUUUAUCAUCUCCAUAUUUAAUUUAUCAAACAAAUUAGCUGGUAUUGUUAUGUUAGGCUAUCAGAAAGCAGAUGUCCAGAAGACGAAUAUGCCUGAGCCUAACCUGAUAUAUUCAUAAACAAGAUUUGAGGUGAGCUUUUAUAAUUUAUACUUUUAUAAACAAUGCACCAACCCUUUUUGAGCAAUUUCCUAAAGAGAACACAAGGUGCCCAUUUGGGGUGAAAUUAUAUGUAUAUCCAUCAUAUACCAUUAGUAACACCAAAGUGAUAGGAAAAAGGGUUAUUUCUGUUUUAGUGGUACACUGAUGAAAAUUAUUUCAUCAUUUGGUGGCAUCCAAAUAAAGAGAAGAAUUGAGAGUGGAGUAAUAUAAGUUGUACUUGGGAUGGUGAUAAGAGGACAUUAUAAUUUAUGGAUUCAAGAUCAUAUUGACCAACCGCUUUUCAGACCAAAUACUUGUGCCUUCAAAAAUUGCCGCUUAAACCUUCCUUUCUUUUUCUUCGUUGAAUGUCUUAUGUAGUAAUCUCAUGUUUGGAUUGUUUUUUAUGCUUUGAGUUAUUGAGACUUAUGCGUUGGUGGUUGUGGUAGUCUUAAUUUGAUUGUUGAAAUUCAUAUUCGAUGCAUUGUAUGUAACAACGUAUCGGCUUUUU